UAAGGCUGUAAAGUAAUAAAAUGUGGAAAAAGGGAAGGAGUCGGUCUGAAUACUUUCCGAAUGCGUUGUAUAUACAGCCUGAGACAUUUGUGUGCGAACUCGAGUAAAUGUUCCUUACAAGUCAGAGUGUUGAAUAAAAUUACAUGCAAACUCUACCYGUUGCUGUACUGUUUGUCCUUCUGCUGCUCUAAAUUUGAGACAAAAAUAUCCGCAGGAAAGUAUUGUUUACCCAACUUUUUAAAGAGCRGGUAGGUGUAUGGCUUGGUUCGGCACAGAGGUAAAGCUAGUUUCAUGUUAGAUUUUCUUAUUUCAAUCUUUAGAAAAAUAAAAUAAAAAUGUGGAUUGUUCACCAUUCUCACGGGAUUCUGGAUCAUUUUCAUUGUCAUGGCAUGCUUGGUUUCAUAUGCUUAGUAGUGAGAAACCAUGCAUAAAGUAGAUGAUAAUUGUACUUUUGGCCACUUGAGACCACUCUGUGUAUUCCAGAAUGAUAACUUGCAAAAGUGGUAGAUUAGUCCUAGCAGCAGUAACCAGUCACACAAUUCAGACAUUCUGCAACUUGAAAAUAGAGAUUGUGAACAACAAUGCCCCUAGAAGUCACAAGAGGCAAUUGGAUGGCUCCUGAAUUGAUGACAGGAACAAGACUCCUUUCAAAAAGCCCUGUAGUCCAAAGACAGUCUCCCCAGACCUGUCUUGUGUUGUAGAUUCAUGCAACCCCUUCCAGAUAUAGUCACUGUCUCCCCUGCUACUGACACCCAAGAAGUUCCAUCUAGUGUGGAAAAUACAGUGAAAGUUAAAGGUACACCAGAAUCUGUAUGUGUGUCAAACUUCGAUAAUGUCCAGAGUGGGCAAGAAGGAGAAGCAGGCACUAGACAGGGUGGUGUUGCGGCUCCAAGCAGCCCAGCAUCUAACGACACUGAGGCCUGUUUUUGACUUUGACGUGGAUGACAUGUGCCUGAGCCCCAUUGACAGCGACAGGGGGAGGGAUGAGGGCAUUGAAGCCUUCGUCGAAAGCUGUAACAGCUUUUACGACACGGACAGUGUCCGUAACCCUAGUGACGGAGACAACCAGCAACUAAGCCUCUCUUGGCUCAGUCCAACACAGGGUAGGGAAAUGAUGAGGUGGGAGAGGGGGAGGAUGGAAAAUGAGACAAGAUGGUGGGAGAAGGAGAAGGAGAAAGAGGGAAAGGAAAAGAAAAAGAUAAACCAACAGGAGGAAGAGGAGAGCGUAAGCGAUGAGGGUUAUUUCUCCAGGUCCUACCUAUAAGCACUGAAGGCAGGGAAGGACGUGUCAAGCUGUGACGCCCCUGCAGCCCCACAUCUCGUACAGCCCUUUGGUCAGGGGAAGGGAAGGAUUGCAGAGGCCACAGGUGGCUGUGUCAGAGGAGGGGGAGCCACCGUGUCACCCAGAUUUCCCUGAGACCAAUGAGUGCCAGGCUGUGGUUUGCCAGCCGAUCAACUCAUUCACUCUGGAGGUUGUUUCUUAUGGGUUAUAUGGGGAACCUCUAGUCCCAGUGGAGGGUGCAGAUGAGGGCUUGGAGGUGGAGGAGGAAGUGGGGGCUUCAUUCAUUCCAUAGCCUCUCCAAGUCCAUGUAAGAGGUCCUUAAGCUGACCAGAGAUGUGACAAAUGGACAAUUAUGCUUAACGUUAAAACAGCCAUUUUUUAAAUUUGUUUUCUGUUAAAACGAUAGAAAAUCAUAAAAUUCCACUUCAAUUCACAAUGCAGAACAAUGAUCCUAUUACAUAUAUAUGACCGCUAGGGCCGGGCAAUAAAGUUAUAUCUACCGCAGUCAUAUACCCUUGAAAGUGUCUCGGAAUGCCGCUUCUGAAGCGGGACUAACGUCCAUUACUAGGCUACCAGAACUGUCAAUCAAACAGGACGCAGACCACUCUCUCUUAAAAGAAAGUUCUUGAAAGUUUGUUAGUAGAAAGAAAAUACAUCUUCUGCUAGGAAUCGACUCCUAAGAUGCAGUACUUUGGAACGGAGGAGACUGAUUAGUUGCCAUACUUCCAAGAACACUUGCAUCUUUCAUAGAGAGCUAGCGAGGGACUGAGAGAAGAGGAGGGGCACAGUAUAGGCAGUUGGCAACCAGGCCGAAUCGUGCACUAGGCCUAUCUAUCCGCAUUGGAAUCCUGUAUAGUUUUUCCUUUAGGGAUUUUUCUUAAUGUUAAGGAUCCCAAUUUGGUUUAAAUGUUCACACCCCUAAAGCUGACACAUUGUAAUAUGCAAAUAUAUUGUUUCUCUUAAUGUAGCUGUGAGAUGUAACUAAUAAUAUUUCAUCAUUAACAAACAGGUUUCCUGUAUUUUGUGUCCAUAUGCAUAUUUAUUUAUUUGUUUUGCCUCUAUCAACUGUUAAGAUUUGGUUGUGACUGUAUAGCUGUUGUGUGGAUAUCUCUGUUCAUAUUGCUCUAAGACCUUCUGCCGUGUCCAGGGGAGGUCAGUAGUGGUGCUUCCCAGCGUGCAACAGAGCAACAGCAGCAAACCCUCAACGCCGCCUGAGCAGAAAGGAUCCGAGACCAGGGGUGAUGACCGAGCUGCUGAACCUGAUGAACCAUGUGGCUGACCAGGCACCAAGCCUCAACGGCAGCCCCCCUCAGAUCUCCACUGCAGCAGAACCAGAACUACAGGAACCCCCGGUGCUUUGCCAAGGUCCCACAGAUCUUCGAGAGAAGUCCGGUUCUGUCAAUCCAAGCAACAAAGGAUAUUUUAUCUGAAAUGUAUUAAUUUGCAUCAAGAUGUAAUAUGUUAAUUGCUAAAGUGGCUUGAAGCCCAGUGAUUCCAGUCAUUGUUUGUUUUUAUUUUGUUUUCAGUAAUAUUAGUGUGAUGAUUCUCUUUUUAUGUUAUGAUUUAAUUUGUUAAAAUUGUUCCUUUCAGCUUACCCUCCAGUGUAGGAUAACAUUGACAAAAAAGGAAGAAAAUGAUAUAACGUAAAAGCAGACUAAUAGCCUAGUCAUUUUACCUGAACCUUAGUAUGUUGCAUAUGUGGAGGGCUCUGGUCAUCAUUCCCUCAUUUCAUGGGUUCAUUGCUGCACUUGUACCUUGUUUAUAACUUCAUUCCUAGUCUUGAUUAGCUUUUUGAAUGCUGUGCMUAUUUCCCUGUCUAAGUACUUAUUUGUGCAGUUUUAAUUUCUUACCCAAUAUAUUUUGUAUUCAUACUGUUGAAGUUUUUUUAGUACUUCUGAUUAACCCUGGUUCAGCUAGAACAGUUUGAAGGGACAAUCACUUUUUUGAUCCAUCACAUUCCUGGUGUGAUAUGAUAUGUACAUGUCCAGACAUGCUCUUCACUUGCUGCCUCAGAUGGUCUGUCAUUUGUUUAUUAGCAUUAGUCAGAAAGGUAAUUUUAAGGUAAUUUUGUCUGUGGCCAUGUUAUGCUUAAUUUGCAUGAGUCUCUAGCCUUUCUAGGCUUUACAUGACAGUUUUCAUAUCAUGCUUUUUUCUACUGGUCCAGUGACCUUUGAUACCUCUUAUCUGACUCCUUCCCAGGCAUUUUAAUGACACUCCUCCCUCUGGUUCCCAGCACCAUUCACAGGAGGUGAGCAGUUCUCCUUGACCUACUUAUUGAGAGUGUUUUCAGGGAAAGGGUAGACAUUUCAUCUGAAUUAUGUAUGCCAACCUUGCCUAAAGAUGAUUGAAUCAGUGACUUAUGAGCACCUGCCUUCGACCUUACAGGUGAAUUAAACGCCUUUUUAAAACAGUGUUGUAGCUACAGUUAAUGUGGUUCAGAUGCCUUUGCUGCAGAUAUCACACUUGGUCUGUGAAAUGGUCUAAAAUGCCAAGUGUGAGUUCAAUGUGGAGGAAAGGAAGAGGAUCAUUUAUUAUGUAAAUGUAUGUUAUAGAAGCCCAGAGUCCUUUAACUUGUAUAACAUUUAUAGUCCUGUACAGCCCACAAACAUCUAGAGGUCUCUCUGUGAACAAGCCUGUUGAUGCUUAUUAUUGUAGAGUAGCAUUGAACAGUAGGCACUGAUGUAACAUUUGAGUUUAUUUGUUUGCUUUGAACUGGUGACAAUAUUUGGUAUUGUAAUGGAUCUCUAUAGAAUCCGGUAAAAUGUCUCAGUCCCAAAAGUUGGAUUAUAAUUAUGUUUGUGGGUGGAUGCCUAUGGCAUACCAUCAGCUUGUUUCGCCUUGUGUCUGUGUACAUGUGUACAUUUUUGGUGUUUCUUCUAACGUUUAUUGUAUACUAUAAUGUUGUAUGUGUAGGCCCUGUCACUAUGUCCUCCAUCCAUUAAAUAAUGCAGGCAGUUAAAGUAAGCCCGUCUCCACAGAUAUUCUGACAGUCUGUCUCUAGCCAGCCAUCCAGAAGCUGUGUGUGUGGCCUGAGCCAGACGGAUUACCAGGACGUGUACUCAGAGCAUGCGUGGKCCAACUGACCG